GAUAUGGAGAGCCAACAGUUGAGGUCACAAAUGAAGGCGUUGAUGUUGCAGGGCAUGCAGUUGGUUCAUCUUCGGAGUGUGAUCAAACCUGCAGCACUGGGAAAAGCCUCUGCCCAAGCAAGCUUAUGGUUAAUCUUUCUCAAUUAUUAUCAUUGGAUUGUGCAUUGUUGGUUAUAUUGUUUUAUUUCCCAACAUUAUUUUGAAUCCAUUAUUAACUUGAUCGUUGGAGACAUUGUAGGUACCACACCCUUGCUAUGAAUAUGUACAAUUUUAAUAAAAAUGUGAAGCCUUUUUUUUAUUUGAACAUUUCUUCACUCGUCUUAAUGACUUUUUGUUGGCUUUCUUGUAGUGAGCUUAUUUACUUUUCAAUGCUUACAUUGAUAAUGUUUUGUGGAUUUUGUAGGAGGAUAACUUGGAAGAGUUUGGUGAAUAUUAAAAUAAUAGAGUUGAUACCUAUUAUGUCGUUGUGCUUACUGUUUGUUAAGAGUCCCACAUCGGACAAUAUAUGACCUGAACAUGUGUUUAUAAAUGGGGGCAGUCCUCACUCUACCAACCGGUUUUGUAGGGUUGAGUUAGGCCCAAUCACACAUUCUUAACAUGGUAUCAGAGCCUCGUUUAAGAUCUGGUGGACCACCCACCAUUUAUUUCCACGCUCCAGAUGUCCGGUCUUGGGCGUGAGGGGGUGUGUUAAGAGUCCCACAUCGGACAAUAUAUGACCUGAACAUGUGUUUAUAAAUGGGGGCAGUCCUCACUCUACCAACCGGUUUUGUAGGGUUGAGUUAGGCCCAAUCACACAUUCUUAACACUGUUAAAUUGUUUGUUCCGCACAUAUCUUUCGCACAUAUCUUUCAUGUGUCUGUUUAUGUUCUAUAGAAUGCAUACAUGCUAAUGUUGAUGUUUUGAUAUUGUUUCUAUUUCAAUUAUUCCUUCAUGAAUGAUCGUUUGAUUAUUUAUGAGUUUAGCUUUAGAUUAUUUCUUCCAUUGUUUGAUUUUGAAUAGGGUUUGUAUUUUAAUUGUUGGAAGCUGUUGUAUUAAUCAAUGAAUGAUGUGAAUCUAAAUUCUAAUAUAACAAUCUGAUUUAGUUCAAUCUCCUAAGCUUUCUUUAUUUUAUUAACAGAAAACAACUAACUACACUUGUUUGCAUUUUCCAGGAGUAACUAGAAAUAAAUGCAAAUAUUUAAUGGUGAAGGAUAAUACUAACAUUAUGAAUUUUGUUUCAGGCCCUGCCAAGGGAGCAAGUGUAUGUGACAUUUUUCGUAUUGAGUUUCAUGCACUUCAUUAGAUAAAAUGAACUUGUUCUUUGUCUAAUUUCAGUAUUUCUUCCAUAUUGCCUUAAGUUUUCUUCAAUGCAAUGAUUAAAUGAACUUGUUCAAUGUCUAAUUUCAGUAUUUCUUCCAUAUUGCCUUACUCACUUGUUCAGGUCAUUUUUGCUGAUUUUAUAGUAAUCUGUGAUCGAUUCCAUGAGAUAUCGAAAGUGAUGCAAAUCACCUUUGAUUUGGAAGCAUAAUCCGGUCUCCAUCCCAACUAUUCUUCGUAUUGAGUUUCAUGCACUUCAUUAGAUUAAAUCACAUACAUUUGUGAUUCUAGUAGAUGGAAAGUGUAUUCAAUUUGUUAAUUGCUCUGAAGCAUCCUCCACACCUCUUAUCAACGGCAUGUCCGGUGUCCGACACCGACCCAAAUCUACAUUCAAUUUAUUCAUUUUUUUCAAAUUAUUACUGGUGUCGACGUGUCUUGGGUCCGUAUUCUAUAUGUUAAUUGUAUUAUAUAGAGAUUUUAAGUGCCUUGUCCGGGUUAUUAUUAUCCAUAUGUAGUAACCGUGUCUUUAAUAGAUAUUGAUGCACAUCAAUUUGAAAAGUUGCAAAUUGUUUUUAACUCAUUUCAGAUCCAGUAAUCUCCAAUGCCCUUGGUGGAAUUCUUGUUGGUUUAGUUACUAGCCAUGAUGGCGGUGUUGAAAACGUAACGUUUAUUGUAGGAAACAGAUUUUUUGCAGUUACUGAAUAUGAUUCCGUUUUGUAUGACUUCCAUAUCAUAUUUUCUGAUUUGUACAAAUUUGCUUUAGUGGUUUUUCUUCAAUGAAGCUACAGCAUGGCUACAGUUCAUUUAAAAUUAGCCAUCUUCUUCUUGUGUCGUCUAAAAGAAAAAUUGCACGGUUGACUUAAUAUAUCCUUGUUAUGGUUUUAUGGACAAUCUUUCUCAAUUAUUAUUAUUUGAUUGUGCAAUUGUGAAGUUGUUAUGAUCUGCCUGUGAUUAGUAUGUUCUUUUAUUUACCAAAAUUAUUUUGAAUUCAUAACUAACUUGAUCGUCGGAGUUUUUGCAGGUACCACAUCUUUGAUGUGUCAUGCUAUGCUCAUGAGUAUGAUGAAACAAAAAGGAAAUGCAACAUCUUAAAAGCAUGGUAGGAAGUUUACCUUUGAUUUGAGCUGCUGGCCAUGCUUAACAGUCUGGUCUUCAACCGAGCUGAGUGAAUGGGAUUCAUUGACAUGGGGGGCCUUCUGAAACAUUAGAAAUGGGCAGAGGCUGAAAACUUUGGGUGUCAGGCUGUGUUUGAAGUGGGGAGUCAUGCCUCAAAUAUAAAUUCUGGUAUCCCUAGUGAAAGUUGAAGCUAAAACAUUGGAAAUUUGAGUUGUUCUUCAUAAUGCCUAUUAAGCUCACGAGAUCUUGCGAAAGAAAUGGGAGAAGGUGUGUAGAGAAAAUAAAAGGCAGGGAGGGGACUGGGUAUAUAAAAUUUGAGAGCUUUCAACUUAGCUUUGGUUUGGUACUGGCUCUUGAGGUUGCAUGUAGAAAAACAAACUCAGUUUUUGAAAACCAGAAUUUCAUGUAUAUGGAUCCAACAUAUUAUUCAAACAAGUUUAUUUGACAGUAAUAUAUAAGACAAUUAUUGCCCUUUUGUAAUUUGUACAAGUAAAGUGUAAACUUUGAAUUUUGUUUGAAAUCGUGAUUUCCGUUUUUGAUUUGGUUCUCACAAUAUAGAUAAUGCAUUCAUAGAAA
rnacentral:lncRNA from 1 species